GGGGGGGGGUAACUCCCUGCAGAGUGGCGAACGGGUGAGUAAGACGUGGGUGAUCUGUCCCGGUCACGGGGAUGGCCUGUGGAAACAUGGGGUAAUACCGGAUAAGCUCUGCGGGGUAAAGGCCGCGGAGGAAAGGCGCGUAUGCGCCGGAGAGGGAUGAGCCUGCGGUCCAUUAGCUUGUUGGCAGGGUAAGAGCCUACCAAGGCGACGAUGGAUAGCCGGCCUGAGAGGGCGAACGGCCACACUGGGACUGAGAUACGGCCCAGACUCCUACGGGAGGCAGCAGCUAAGAAUCUUCCGCAAUGGGCGAAAGCCUGACGGAGCGACGCCGCGUGGACGAAGAAGGCCGAAAGGUUGUAAAGUUCUUUUCUUUGCGAAGAAUAAGGGGAGGAGGGAAUGCCUUUCUGAUGACGUUAGCGAAGGAAUAAGCCCCGGCUAAUUACGUGCCAGCAGCCGCGGUAAUACGUAAGGGGCGAGCGUUGUUCGGAAUUAUUGGGUGUAAAGGGCGCGCAGGCGGCUCUGAAAGUCCGGUGUGAAAGGCCGCAGCUUAACUGCGGUUGUGCGCUGGAAACUACAGGGCUUGAGUGCAGGAGGGGGAGCUGGAAUUCCAGGUGUAGGGGUGAAAUCUGUAGAUAUCUGGAAGAACACCGGUGGCGAAGGCGAGCUCCUUGCCAUGGACUGACGC
rnacentral:rRNA from 1 species